rnacentral:rRNA from 1 species
AUUGAACGCUGGCGGCAGGCCUAACACAUGCAAGUCGGGCGGGGUUUUCGGACCUAGCGGCGGACGGGUGAGUAAUGCGUAGGAAGCUACCCGAUAGAGGGGGAUACCAGUUGGAAACGACUGUUAAUACCGCAUAAUGUCUACGGACCAAAGUGUGGGACCUUCGGGCCACAUGCUAUCGGAUGCGCCUACGUGGGAUUAGCUAGUUGGUGAGGUAAUGGCUCACCAAGGCGACGAUCCCUAGCUGGUUUGAGAGGAUGAUCAGCCACACUGGAACUGAGACACGGUCCAGACUCCUACGGGAGGCAGCAGUGGGGAAUAUUGGACAAGGGGCGCAAGCCUGAGCCAGCCAUGCCGCGUGUGUGAAGAAGGCCUUCGGGUUGUAAAGCACUUUCAGUAGGGAGGAAGGGUUAAGUGUUAAUAGUACUUAACUUUGACGUUACCUACAGAAGAAGCACCGGCUAACUCUGUGCCAGCCGCCGCAGUAAAAC